rnacentral:miRNA from 1 species
GCAGACACAUUCCAGCCAAUCAGCAGCAGACCCUCCCUCCCAGACCCUCCCACCUCCUGGACAGCUCACUAAGAAUGCAGCUUCACAAUGAAUGUAAAAUGGAUGCUGUCCAGGAGGUGGGAGGGUCUGGGAGGGAGGGUCUGCUGCUGAUUGGCUGGAAUUUGUCUG